rnacentral:rRNA from 1 species
CCAGACUCCUACGGGAGGCAGCAGUGAGGAAUAUUGGUCAAUGGCCGGAAGGCUGAACCAGCCAAGCCGCGUGAAGGACGAAGGUGCCAAGCAUUGUAAACUUCUUUUGUCAAGGGACAAAAUCAGGCUCGAGAGCCUGACCGAGGGUACUUGAAGAAAAAGCAUCGGCUAACUCCGUGCCAGCAGCCGCGGUAAUACGGAGGAUGCGAGCGUUAUCCGGAUUUAUUGGGUUUAAAGGGUGCGCAGGCGGUCUGUUAAGAGAGGGGUAAAAGCCGGGGGCCAACCCCGGGCGAGCCGUUGAAACUGGCGGGCUGGAGUUGGAGAGAAGUACGCGGAAUGCGCGGUGUAGCGGUGAAAUGCUUAGAUAUCGCGCAGAACCCCGAUUGCGAAGGCAGCGUACCGGCUCCACACUGACGCUGAGGCACGAAAGCGUGGGUAUCGAACAGGAUUAGAUACCCUGGUA